AGCUUUGUAGUCAAGUGGUAAAGACACUCGCCUCUUACCCUAGAGUCCCGGGUUUGAUCCUCGGUUGAGGAGCUA